rnacentral:lncRNA from 1 species
AGCAGAGCCAACCCCUAAGGAGUCUGUGGUGGGUACAGAGCACAUGCCCAUCUUCGAGGGACAGGUCAGGACGGUGCCCUUGGCAUGAACGGUGGGCAUUGCUGGCCCUCAAUGCCUACCUUCUCAGGUAAGAACCAAGCCACAUCUACAGGGCUGCAGGCUGGCUCGUGGACUGUUGUACCAGCUCAUCGGCAGAGAGAGCCUUUCGCAUGGUGGAUCUGUCCUCUCAGCAGCACAUGUGAAGACCCCUGAGACCUUGAGCCUCACCAGGUAUCGUCAGGCACCAUGGCAGAGGUAAGGCAGCCUCAUCUUAAAUCACAAAAUGUUUCCACCUGUCCACUGACUGACCCAGCAGCUGGGGCAGGCUGUCAUUUCAAGUUCAGUUAUGCACUGACUUUGUUGAAAGAUUUUGGGGGAAAUUAUUAUUUUAUUUAUAAACUUGGAGUUGUAUAUGAAUUUUGAACUAUUAAUAUUUCUGUUUGACUUUUGGAUGAGAUGUUACUUCAAAGAUGUUCAUAGCUCAAGGCCCCUCUCGGAGGAGCCUUCCCUCUGCCUCUCUCAUUUGUCCAGGCCAAUAAAAUGCAAUUCAUUCAAAGGAUGAUGGAAAAUAACCACUUUAUGUACUUGAACUGACAACAUACAUUCAAACUCGUAACAUUUAUCUGAAAACAAAAGCCUGCAUGAACACUCAUUUAGCAAUACCACGUGGCCACGGGCUUCAAGGCCUCUGCUUUUGAGCUCCACACUGCCUCUCGUAGACAACAGAGCAUGUGUGACCUCCAACGUUAGUAUCUCUGUGGUGAUGCUGAUAGAGUGACGUGAACUCACACUUGUUGACACUCAUCACCAGUGCUUCCAGUACCUCAUUGUUCUCUUGCCCAUAAUUCAGUUUUGUUAGCAAUUCUUCUCGAACCCUUCUUCACAUUCAACUCAGUUUUCAUAGAAACACCACUCACACUCAUUUUAUUUUGUAAGGUUAAGUCACAAUUAUGUGAUCAUUGUAGGAACAGUAAACACAAGGGACUUUUGACAAAUAUCCAACCAGAAUAAUGGGACACUUUGCAGGAAGGAGAGUGUGCAGGCAGUUACACUACAGCCAAGGGCCUGAGAGAAGUCCUCGGGUAUUCCAGGAGGAAUGGGGUGCAGAGUGACUACCCCAGCAGCUGGCAGCUUAGGACAGCAGUGGCUACCCUGUGGUGGAAAGGCCUCCAAAGCUGCAGAUUCAGCCUUUGUAAAACAGCAAAACUCUAACCCACUAACUACAAUUUAGAUGCAACUGUCACGAAAAAAAAAAUAAGUGUGAGCUGAAAUGGGAUGGCAGUUCAGGCCUGUAAGCCUAGCAGUUGGGAGACAGAGGCCAGAGGAUUAGAAGUUCAAGGCCAGGUUCAGUUAUUUACUGAGUUUGGGGGCAGCCUGUGCUACGUGAGUCCACGUGUCAAAACAAAACAAGAG